AAAAAUUCACAAAUUGGAUUACUCAUUGUUCCUUUAUCUUCCCCUUUCGAUUUCGAAGGGUUUUGAAUCUUUUGAUCGAUCUCCUCAGUAGUUUCUCUCCGAUCAACGUCAAAUGGCUAUUCUCACAGUCCAACUCUUCUCUCCCAAAUUCUCUAACUCCUCUUCAACGAAUCUCCUCAUCCACAACCACAAGCUCAGAACCACCCGAGUCUGGUGCACCCGCGGCUUCAGCGACGCGUCGCUUGCAUCGGAGCUCGCCGCCAAAGUCGCCAAGAUCAAUUCCGACUUGCUUAAGACGGAGGAGGCCAUGAAGAAGAGCCGAGAGAUUCUCUUCGGAGAGUUGUGCGAGUAUCUUGGCUUGAAGGAAGACGAGGUGAAGCACAAGUGGAGGAAAAUCGACGGAGAAGAGAAAUCGGCUUUGAUCAAAGCGUUUUUGGAAAAGUGGGGUUCGAAUUUUCACCCCUUAUCUGCGAGGUCUGCGAAGGAGAUGAUGGAGGAGUAUUUGCAUGAAGAGAACGAUUCUUCGUCUGUGAAAUCAUCUUCUGAUUCUUCUGCGUUCUUGUUUCCUGGAUUGAAGAGGUUGAUGGGGUUUUCUCAAUAGCAAACUCAGAGCUCUCCUGAAAAAUUCCUGGUAUAUGAUUCCUGAUGGAGCAAGUGCCUGGUUCAUAAGAUACAUGGAUUUGGAUUUGUGAGCAAAUUUGCUUGGUAAGCUCUUUAGCUGUCGUCUGAUAAAUUGGGGAGACAUCAUCUCAGAAUAAAGGGAACUCCUAAGCACUCCUUCAAACAAGAGGCAAUCUAUUCCUUCAUCUUUUGUUCCUUUGUAGCUACAAGUUCAUGCACAAUUUAAUUGUAAAGUAUUAGCUUUGUUCCAUUUUAGAACUCAACGAGCUUUAAAUGAAUCUUAAGCUCAAGAUUUGAACAUAUUAAGGAUUCCCAUGUUGGUUAGAGCUAGGUUGGAAAAAAAUUGUACAUAUAUAAUAAAUAUUUAUUAAAUUAAUGGUUUAAAGUUUUGGAGAUGAAAGCGGUA